CGCUGGUUAGCUCAGUUGGUAGAGCGCUCCACCUGUAAUGGAGAGGUCCCGGGUUCGAUACCCGGACCAGGCG
rnacentral:tRNA from 1 species